AUGAAGGGAUGGGGUGCUAAUCUGGGUCGCGACCUCCGUGAGCGCAAGAAGGCAUUGCUAUCCGCGAUCCAGGCCCUUGACUUGCGUGCUAACGUGGUGGGUCUUUCUUCAGACGAGUGGCUCUCCCGUUAUGACCUGGAAGACCAGCUCUCCGUGAUCUACACCGAUGAGGAGGCCUACUGGUGCCUCCGUGGUGCCUAGAAAUGGGUCUUGAAAGGCGACGCGAAUACGACAUACUUCCAAGCCAUCGCCAACAGCCGCCGUAGAUGCAACACCAUCCCUCUCUUGUGGGAUGGUGAGACUCUCCUUCAAGACCCCCGCGACAUCCGGUCCCACGUCGACGGUUUCUAUAGAUCCUUAUUCUCUACCGCCCCUAGAAGCAGCAUCUCUCUCGCCCCCGAUUUCUUAUCUGGUUCCCAGUUGGUGUCUGUCUCGGAGAACGCGGCCCUUACGGCCCCCUUCUCCGAGCAAGAGGUCUGGGACGCCAUCAAGGGCAUGAACCCAUCCUCGGCGCCGGGACCGGAUGGCCUCCUGGUUAAAUUUUCCCAGACCUUCUGGAACGUGAUUAAACCGGAGGUCAUGGCCAUCUUCUAUGAGUUCUAUGUUGGCUCCUUUGAUCUCGGGCAUCUCAAUUACGGGAUCAUCUCUCUCAUCCCCAAGGUCCCUGGGGCGUCUGACAUCCGCCAGUUUCUCACGAUCACGGUUAUUAAUGUGAUCUUCCGGAUCCUGGCCAAAGGGUACGCCAAUAGGGUGACCCUGCUGGCAGAUCGUGUGACUCACAACCAGCCGGCCUUCAUUAAGGGCCGUUACAUCCUGGAUGGGGUCCUUGUCCUUCAUGAAGUCCUUCAUGAGGUCCGCGUCAAACACCUCAAGGCGGUUUUUCUGAAGAUUGACUUCCACAAGGCCUACGAUACAGUUAGCUGGCCCUUCCUCCAGGAGGUCCUUCUUCGGAAGGGCUUCGACGACCGGUGGAUCGCUAGAGUCGUGCAAAUGGUCUCUUGCGGUCGCACGACCGUGAACAUCAACGGUGAGAUUGGCCCUUUCUUCCCCAGCCUUUGUGGGGUUCGACAAGGCGACCCCUUCUCCCCGUUCUUGUUCAAUAUGGUCGUGGACGCGCUUGCCUCCAUUCUGGAUAAGGCAAAAGCCGCUAGCCAUAUUCAUGGGAUUACUCCCCACCUUGUUGGUGGCUCCGAUAUCUCCAUCCUCCAGUAUGCUGACGACACUAUCAUCAUGGUCGAAGGCUCGGAGACGGACACCUCCAACCUCAAGUUCCUCCUUCUCUGCUUCUAA
rnacentral:rRNA from 1 species